rnacentral:rRNA from 1 species
AGAGUUUGAUCAUGGCUCAGAUUGAACGCUGGCGGCAGGCCUAACACAUGCAAGUCGAACGGUAACAGGAAGCAGCUUGCUGCUUUGCUGACGAGUGGCGGACGGGUGAGUAAUGUCUGGGAAACUGCCUGAUGGAGGGGGAUAACUACUGGAAACGGUAGCUAAUACCGCAUAACGUCGCAAGACCAAAGAGGGGGACCUUAGGGCCUCUUGCCAUCGGAUGUGCCCAGAUGGGAUUAGCUAGUAGGUGGGGUAACGGCUCACCUAGGCGACGAUCCCUAGCUGGUCUGAGAGGAUGACCAGCCACACUGGAACUGAGACACGGUCCAGACUCCUACGGGAGGCAGCAGUGGGGAAUAUUGCACAAUGGGCGCAAGCCUGAUGCAGCCAUGCCGCGUGUAUGAAGAAGGCCUUCGGGUUGUAAAGUACUUUCAGCGGGGAGGAAGGGAGUAAAGUUAAUACCUUUGCUCAUUGACGUUACCCGCAGAAGAAGCACCGGCUAACUCCGUGCCAGCAGCCGCGGUAAUACGGAGGGUGCAAGCGUUAAUCGGAAUUACUGGGCGUAAAGCGCACGCAGGCGGGUUGUUAAGUCAGAUGUGAAAUCCCCGGGCUCAACCUGGGAACUGCAUCUGAUACUGGCAAGCUUGAGUCUCGUAGAGGGGGGGUAGAAUUCCAGGUGUAGCGGUGAAAUGCGUAGAGAUCUGGGAGGAAUACCGGUGGUGAAGGCGGCCCCCUGGACAAGACUGA